rnacentral:rRNA from 1 species
GUUUGCGAUGGCCACCAAAAAAUUGCGGCGCUAGUGAUCGUGGGUCAGCAUAUCUCGGUGAAUGCGUUCCCGGGCCUUGUACACACCGCCCGUCACCCACGGGAGUAAAUUGCAGCUCAAGCCGCCGGGAGCCGAAAGGCAGGCGUCUAGGCUGUGGUUCAUGACUGGGGGAAAGUCGUAAAAAAAAAAAAUUACCGU